rnacentral:rRNA from 1 species
GUAGGGAAUAUUGCGCAAUGGACGAAAGUCUGACGCAGCGACGCCGCGUGAGUGAUGAAGGCCUUAGGGUCGUAAAGCUCUGUUGAAUGGGAAGAAAAAAAUGACGGUACCAUUCGAGGAAGGACCGGCUAACUUCGUGCCAGCAGCCGCGGUAAUACGAGGGGUCCUAGCGUUGUUCGGAAUCAUUGGGCGUAAAGGGUGUGUAGGUGGCCAUGUAAGUCAGGUGUGAAAGCCCCGGGCUCAACCCGGGAAGUGCACUUGAUACUGCGUGGCUUAAGUACCGAAGAGGGUAGUGGAAUUCCAGGUGUAGUGGUGAAAUACGUAGAUAUCUGGAGGAACACCGGUGGCGAAGGCGGCUACCUGGUCGAGUACUGACACUGAGACACGAAAGCAUGGGGAUCAAACAGGAUUAGAAACCCCGGUAGUCC